ACAAGUGGAAAGAACUGCAGCCGGAGCCCUUCGCUGCCUUGCUCUGGACAUAAGCAGCCCUUUUCAUCACGGAAGGGAAGCCCGGAGAUGAGAGGGUUCCAGGGUUCCGAAGAGCCAAGAGCCAGCACAGAAGAGGCUGAAGAGGAGCAAGGGCAGGGCAGGGACCUCCAGCGGCAAUCCGAGAGCCCCAGACCGCCCCCCUCCUGGGACAAGGCAGCCCCUUCGCCAGGACUCUGAUUCUCUGCCCCAGCCCUGGCCCAGCUGGUCUGCGUCCGUCGUCCUUGAGAGCUGCAGCCAACAUGACCACGCCUCUGCUCUGCACAGUGGGCACUGUCGCCAGUGAGGGCAGAACACACACACAGUGGAUGUUUUCUUGCCUUCUUUGAGAACAUGUCUUGGAUGCUACCAUUUCUGGAAGGCCCCUCAACAACAACAAUGGUGAAGAUGGCUUGUAUUGGGCGAGUGUUCUAGAAGUUUACAACAGGGCUACUACCCUCUUCUUGAGUACAGGCUGCAGGGACCACACCUACAGGGAAGGCAACAAGGAAUGGAGAUGGAGCCCUGCUGAGGCCUAAGAUGUGCAUGAGUCCCCCCGAGCUUCCCCGAAGUCUGCCUCGCUUAGACUGAAGCUGAGGCACGGAUAGGGCAGCUGUCCACAGCAUCAUGAGGAAGAUCACUGCCUCCAGCCGACCCCCCCCCCCCCCCGCCACAUUUUAGCCUCCCAGCACAUCACACUUUCCAGUUGCCAUCAGUGUAGGGGCAGGGUUUGCAGACAGGCUGAGAUUCAAGGGCAGAAGGUGCGCAGUGAGAAUGGAGGCCUUACCCAGCAGGGUCCUUCAGGUGCUGUUCAUCCAUUCUGCUUGCACAGCGUUCAGUGUUACACUGGAUAGGAAGACAUGGCCCAGGGGCUGCGAUGGACUCAGGGCCUCUCGACUGAGUCACACCUCCUAGCUCUAUC